CAGAAGUACUGUAGUAUACCACCAUCAUCAUCAUCACGACUACACAGACGCACGCAGACACACAAUCCGCCGCGUUCACUCACAGAAUUCGAAGCGGGCUGGAGCCAAAAACAAGGCAGACGAGAGAAAGCGGCCCGACACAAUGUGCGUGUGGCUGGGCAGCCAGGGCACAGAUUCCCACCAACACCAAACGCUCAGCGCAGUUCAAUGGAAGGGAGGGUUUGGUGGAAGCUGGCGGAGUUUGGAAGCACCGUGCGCAGACCUGUCAGCAGCGAGCCUUCGACACCCCCACUCUGGCCUCGAAGUGCACCUGGCCUGGCACAGGCGCCGUGAAGACGCCACCGUGGCGAAUGGCGGGUGUUGGUGCGUGACGUCAUUUAUGGACGGCCCCCAACGACAGGGUUUGCACACCCAGAGCGCACCUCUAGCGUGGAGUCAGUGGAUAUUUUCAAGGCUUAUUUUGUACAAACAUCCGGCUUCGGGGUUACGUUAACCACAUACAGCCACGGACAUGACUCCACGUCCAACCCUCCGGCGUCGCCACGCUUGUCAAGAGGGUGGGGUGAGGGGUGCGACAAUCAAAAUAUCACUAAUUCCUCACCACCACCACAAUAAUUAUUAUAAUUCUAGACGAGGGGUAUUAUAAUAUCCUCACCAUCAUCACUACCACAUUAAUACCAUCACCAAUACUGAAAACUAAUUUCUUUAAAACUGCUUUUUGUGUUUAGUUUGUUGUCGUUCCCCCACACACCCGAUUGACAUGGUUGGCUCUGUAGGGUCCGGGCACACAUGUACGUGUGUUGAACUUCUUUCGCACCAUACGUAACCAACCGUGCUAAACGGAGCAAAUUUGGCAACAUCACGAUAAUCAUUACCAACUAUCAUCGCCAUUAUGAGUAUGGUAUUACUACCAUAAACGUGACUUGGCUAUAAGCAUUUACAAGUGUGGGUGGGGGGCUGAGUGUUUAGCAGGGGGUGGUGGGGUCCCAGGCCGCCCCCUCCUCGACAUGCGAGGGGGCCGCCCACGUUGUACGUGUUGCUACAGAGGCACUGGUGUGCAACAAAAGAAAAGCUGUCACACAGCAAGCGCGGCAGAAUAACUUAAACGUGAACAAAGGUAAUCGAGCACUUUGAUGGACAGACUAUGAACCCCUUUGGUGGACUUU